AUUGAACGCUGGCGGCAUGCUUUACACAUGCAAGUCGAACGGCAGCGCGGGCUUCGGCCUGGCGGCGAGUGGCGAACGGGUGAGUAAUACAUCGGAACGUGCCCAGUAGUGGGGGAUAGCUCGGCGAAAGCCGGAUUAAUACCGCAUACGACCUGAGGGUGAAAGCGGGGGAUCUUCGGACCUCGCGCUAUUGGAGCGGCCGAUGGCAGAUUAGCUAGUUGGUGGGUUAAAGGCCUACCAAGGCGACGAUCUGUAGCUGGUCUGAGAGGACGACCAGCCACACUGGGACUGAGACACGGCCCAGACUCCUACGGGAGGCAGCAGUGGGGAAUUUUGGACAAUGGGCGAAAGCCUGAUCCAGCAAUGCCGCGUGUGUGAUGAGGGCCUUCGGGUUGUAAAGCACUUUUGGCGGGAACGAAAAGGACUGUGCCAAUACCACGGUUCGAUGACGGUACCCGCAGAAUAAGCACCGGCUAACUACGUG
rnacentral:rRNA from 1 species